GACCAAAAAAAGAUUACAUUACAGGAGAAAGCAAUUCAUCCCAACAACUGUUUGCGAACAUAUUCAUUAUGUUAAGACUUAGACGCAAUGUGAAAACCUCUCUGGGUAAAAACUGCAAAAUGCAAAUCAAAUACCUUCAAUAAAUUUACUAGCACAUUACAAAUGACUCGGAUUACUUUUAUGUACUUGCAUAUUGCAACUUUGCAAAAAUAUUAGCAAUGACCGACUAACUCAAGUAGCUUGUAUCGAAUGCAUUUGCAAAUUCGUAUAAUCGAUUUCCUACCCCUUUUCCCUGAUUCUCCUAUCGAAAAACCAAAUCACUUCAAAAAUUGACAUACAUGGGAUGAGUUAAAUCAAAAGAG